UGGUAAGUAUCCUGACCGUUGAAAUCCAUUCCAAUCCUCCGUCUCCAGCCAACAUCGCCCUGAGGCUUGACCCUCCACCACACCACCUCCAUGGACACUUUUCGUCGUUCGUCUUCUACAAGAAGAUAACGAUUGGGGCCCAUUCGCUAACUAGCAUUCUAUCAAAGGAAAGAUCCAUGUGCAUUUAACCACUAUUUGAGCUGCCCCUUGUGCAAACUAACAUUUUCACAUUGAUACUUACAUAGCUCUCUUGAUACCACACGUCUCCCAUGAUAAAUGAAUGAUGAAAGACCCCAACUUUGAUAAGAUCCACUACCAUCUGUUCACCCUCAAUCUCCCCUUGUUACGUUUCAAGACGAUAAUAUCCAAUCCAUGCCCACUCCUCGAUCUAGUGGCAACAUCCUCGACGAUUUGAAGCUCACUCGACCCACCACGUCGCUUAACGAUAAUGCUUCUCCUAUAACCCAUCCCCUUGUCAUCCGUCGCUCCCUCUGGCUUGCCUACCUAUCACUCGAUUUCCUCUUCCCCUCAUCGGAAUUGAUAUGCCACUCGUCAACUUCCCUACACUCUAUGGACAGUGCCGCCAAAACCACCACCUUAACCACUUAACAAAUCGUUGAACCGCAACUAUACCCUCUUUCUCCCAAACACUUAGAAAAUUGAAAAAGCUAAACAGAAACUCAAACUACUAUGCUACAGAAGCAAACAUAAUCGUGCUGUAGAAGUAGACAUAACC
rnacentral:lncRNA from 1 species